rnacentral:tRNA from 1 species
AGAGGCUUAAGUUAGUAUUAAGACUAAGGACCUUCAAAGCCCUCAGCGGAAGUGAAAAUCUUCCAGUCUCUG